GACGAACGCUGGCGGCGUGCUUAACACAUGCAAGUCGAACGAUGAACUUGGAGCUUGCUCUGGGGGAUUAGUGGCGAACGGGUGAGUAACACGUGAGUAACCUGCCCUGGACUCUGGGAUAACUUCGAGAAAUCGGAGCUAAUACCGGAUAGGACCUUGCACCGCAUGGUGUGGGGUGGAAAGUUUUUCGGUUUGGGAUGGACUCGCGGCCUAUCAGCUUGUUGGUGAGGUAAUGGCUCACCAAGGCGUCGACGGGUAGCCCGCCUGAGAGGGUGACCGGCCAGACUGGGACUGAGACACGGCCCAGACUCCUACGGGAGGCAGCAGUGGGGAAUAUUGCACAAUGGGCGCAAGCCUGAUGCAGCAACGCCGCGUGCGGGAUGACGGCCUUCGGGUUGUAAACCGCUUUUAGUAGGGAAGAAGCCUUCGGGUGACGGUACCUGCAGAAAAAGGACCGGCUAACUACGUGCCAGCCGCCGCGGUAACAC
rnacentral:rRNA from 1 species